rnacentral:ncRNA from 1 species
GACCCGAACCUGGGUGAUCUAUCCAUGACCAUGAUGAAACUUGGGUGAAACUAAGUGGAGGUCUGAACCGACUGAUGUUGAAGAAUCAACAAGAUGAGUUGUGGUUAGGGGUGAAAUGACACUCGAACCUAGAGCUAGCUGG